GGGGAACGGUCCCUUCCUUUGUGGAGACGACGACACUGCGAUUGUAACUGCGAUCUAGCUUCCUUUUGGUUUAGAAAGUGGAUACUGCGAAUUUGAAGAGUUCAUCCUUCCAUAAACACCAGCUUCAACAUGGAUCCAAAUGGAAAGAUUGACCAGACGGUGCAACUGGUGAAGUCGGUUUCUGAUAAGCAUCUUGAUCUUUUGAGGCCAUCUGCCCGGAUUUGUUCAAUAUUCAAAGGCCAAGGAAAAGAUGUUUCAGAUCACAUAAGGAGCAAGUACACACUUCUCAGGGAUGUAGAGGAUUCUCAAGUAGGGCUAUAUGACAAAC
rnacentral:misc_RNA from 1 species